AUGUUCCGACUAAUUCUGCUGCAGCUGCUUCUGGCAGCAGGAUGUGUGAGGUGUGAACAUCUGACACAGCCAUCAUCUGUAGUUUUGCAGCACGGCCAGCAGCUAGCCAUCAGCUGUCAGGUCUCUUACUCUGUGGGUAACCAUCACACUCAUUGGAUCAGGCAACCACCAGGAAAAGGGCUGGAGUGGAUUGGAGGGGCUCGUGUUGGAUAUGCAACAUACCAGAAAAGUUCUCUAAAGAACAAGUUCAGCUUCAGCUUAGAGUCGUCCAGCAACACAGUGACUCUGAAUGGGCUGAAUAUGCAGCCUGAUGAUUCUGCUGUGUACUAUUGUGCCAGACAGUCACACUGA